rnacentral:rRNA from 1 species
AUUAAGCCAUGCAUGUCUCAGUGCAAGCCAAAUUAAGGUGAAACCGCGAAUGGCUCAUUAAAUCAGUUAUGGUUCCUUAGAUGAUGCACAGUUACUUGGAUAACUGUGGUAAUUCUAGAGCUAAUACAUGCAACUCGGUCCCGACCGGCGACGGAAGGGACGCUUUUAUUAGAUCAAAACCAAUCGGUCUUCGGGCCGUUUGUCUUGGUGACUCUGAAUAAAUUAUAGCAGAUCGCACGGCCUCCGAGCCGGCGACGCAUCUUUCAAAUGUCUGCCUUAUCAACUGUCGAUGGUAGGUUCUGCGCCUACCAUGGUUGUAACGGGUAACGGGGAAUCAGGGUUCGAUUCCGGAGAGGGAGCCUGAGAAACGGCUACCACAUCCAAGGAAGGCAGCAGGCGCGCAAAUUACCCACUCCCGGCACGGGGAGGUAGUGACGAAAAAUAACGAUACGGGACUCAUCCGAGGCCCCGUAAUCGGAAUGAGUACACUUUAAAUCCUUUAACGAGUAUCCAUUGGAGGGCAAGUCUGGUGCCAGCAGCCGCGGUAAUUCCAGCUCCAAUAGCGUAUAUUAAAGUUGUUGCGGUUAAAAAGCUCGUAGUCGGACUUGUGUCCCACGCUGCCGGUUCACCGCCCGUCGGUGUUCAACUGGCAUGCACGUGUGGACGUCCUGCCGGUGGCCCGAGCCGGCGCGGGUCUCGCACCCGUCGUCCGGGGAAGGCCUAUCAUACCUGUCGCGGUGCUCUUAACCGAGUGUCUCGAUGGGCCGGCACGUUUACUUUGAACAAAUUAGAGUGCUUAAAGCAGGCAGCAUCCGCCUGAAUACCGAGUGCAUGGAAUAAUGGAAUAGGACCUCGGUUCUAUUUUGUUGGUUUUCGGAACCCCGAGGUAAUGAUCAAUAGGGACAGACGGGGGCAUUCGUAUUGCGACGUUAGAGUGAAAUUCUUGGAUCGUCGCAAGACGGACCGAAGCGAAAGCAUUUGCCAAGAAUGUUUUCUCCUGAUCAAGACCGAAAGUUAGAAGGUU